rnacentral:rRNA from 1 species
AUGAACGCUGGCGGCGUGCUUCACACCUGCAAGUCGCACGGUGAAGGCGGAGCUUGCUCUGCUGGAUCAGUGGCGAACGGGUGAGUAACACGUGAGCAAUCUGCCCCUGACUCUGGGAUAAGCGCUGGAAACGGCGUCUAAUACUGGAUACGAGCUGCGAAGGCAUCUUCAGCAGCUGGAAAGAACUUCGGUCAGGGAUGAGCUCGCGGCCUAUCAGCUUGUUGGUGAGGUAACGGCUCACCAAGGCGUCGACGGGUAGCCGGCCUGAGAGGGUGACCGGCCACACUGGGACUGAGACACGGCCCAGACUCCUACGGGAGGCAGCAGUGGGGAAUAUUGCACAAUGGGCGAAAGCCUGAUGCAGCAACGCCGCGUGAGGGACGACGGCCUUCGGGUUGUAAACCUCUUUUAGCAGGGAAGAAGCGAAAGUGACGGUACCUGCAGAAAAAGCGCCGGCUAACUACGUG